rnacentral:tRNA from 1 species
GGUUUAAUAUUUUAUUUAAAAAAUCUGAUUUGCAUUCAGAAAAUGGGUUUUAUAUCCUUAGGCUG